GUUCAGUGUGGCAUGCUUUACAGCUUAGAACCGGGGCUCCAAAAGCGUUUUGAGCACCACGGAGCAUAUGAGAUGUUCGAAGAGCUGAAACUAGUUUUUCAAGCUCAUGCCCGGGUCGAGAGAUAUGAUGUCUCCGACAAGUUCUACAGUUGUAAGAUGGAGGAAAACAGUUCUGUCAGUGAGCACAUCCUGAAGAUGUCUGGGUUGCACAACCGUAUGACCCAGCUGAACAUUAACCUCCUAGAUGAGGCGGUCAUUGACAGAAUCCUCCAGUCGCUCCCACCAAGCUACAAGAGCUUUGUGAUGAACUACAACAUGCAGGGGAUGGAAAAGACCAUUCCUGAAGUGUUCUUGAUGCUGAAGUCAGCAGAGGCUGAAAUCAAGAAAGAACAUCAAGUGUUGAUGGUCAAUAAGACCACUAAGUUCAAGAAGGGCAAGGGUAAGAAGAACUUCAAGAAGGACGGCAAAGAUGUUGCCGCGCCUGGUAAGCCAGUUACCGGGAAGAAGUCAAAGAAUGGACCCAAGCCUGAGACUGAGUGCUUU
rnacentral:rRNA from 1 species